GAUGAACGCUGGCGGCGUGCCUAAUACAUGCAAGUCGAGCGAACGGACGAGAAGCUUGCUUCUCUGAUGUUAGCGGCGGACGGGUGAGUAACACGUGGAUAACCUACCUAUAAGACUGGGAUAACUUCGGGAAACCGGAGCUAAUACCGGAUGAUAUUUUGAACCGCAUGGUUCAAAAGUGAAAGACGGUCUUGCUGUCACUUAUAGAUGGAUCCGCGCUGCAUUAGCUAGUUGGUAAGGUAACGGCUUACCAAGGCAACGAUGCAUAGCCGACCUGAGAGGGUGAUCGGCCACACUGGAACUGAGACACGGUCCAGACUCCUACGGGAGGCAGCAGUAGGGAAUCUUCCGCAAUGGGCGAAAGCCUGACCGAGCAACGCCGCGUGAGUGAUGAAGGUCUUCGGAUCGUAAAACUCUGUUAUUAGGGAAGAACAUAUGUGUAAGUAACUGUGCACAUCUUGACGGUACCUAAUCAGAAAGCCACGGCUAACUACGU
rnacentral:rRNA from 1 species